AGGGUUUGAUCAUGGCUCAGAACGUACGCUGGCGGCACGCCUAACACAUGCAAGUCGAACGAAGUAGCAAUACUUAGUGGCAGACGGGUGAGUAACAUGUAGGUAUCUGCCCUUUGGCCUGGAAUAACACGAGGAAACUUGUGCUAAUACCGGAUAAGUCUUUACGGAGAAAGCUUUAUGCACCAUUGGAUGAGCCUGCACUUGAUUAGUUUGUUGGUGGGGUAAUGGCCUACCAAGACUAUGAUCAAUAGCUGAUUUGAGAGGAUGAUCAGCCACAUUGGGACUGAGACACGGCCCAGACUCCUACGGGAGGCAGCAGUGGGGAAUUUUCCGCAAUGGGCGAAAGCCUGACGGAGCAACGCCGCGUGAGGGAUGAAGGCCUCUGGGCUGUAAACCUCUUCUAUCAAGGAAGAAGAUCUGACGGUACUUGAUGAAUAAGCCACGGCUAAUUCCGUGCCAGCCGCCGCGGUAAUAC
rnacentral:rRNA from 1 species